rnacentral:rRNA from 1 species
CCUGGCGGCGAGCGGCGAACGGGUGAGUAAUGCAUCGGAACGUGUCCCGUAAUGGGGGAUAACGCCGCGAAAGCGGCGCUAAUACCGCAUACGCUCUACGGAGGAAAGUGGGGGACCUGCAAGGGCCUCGCGUUAGGGGAGCGGCCGAUGUCCGAUAGCUAGUUGGUGGGGUAAUGGCUUACCAAGGCGACGAUCGGUAGCUGGUCUGAGAGGAUGAUCAGCCACACUGGGACUGAGACACGGCCCAGACUCCUACGGGAGGCAGCAGUGGGGAAUUUUGGACAAUGGGGGCAACCCUGAUCCAGCCAUGCCGCGUGCGGGAAGAAGGCCUUCGGGUUGUAAACCGCUUUUGUCAGGGAAGAAACGCUCCGGGUUAAUACCCUGGAGUAAUGACGGUACCUGAAGAAUAAGCACCGGCUAACUACGUGCCAGCAGCCGCGGUAAUACGUAGGGUGCAAGCGUUAAUCGGAAUUACUGGGCGUAAAGCGUGCGCAGGCGGCUUUGCAAGACAGAUGUGAAAUCCCCGGGCUUAACCUGGGAACUGCAUUUGUGACUGCAUGGCUGGAGUGCGGCAGAGGGGGAUGGAAUUCCGCGUGUAGCAGUGAAAUG